GGUGGCUCAGUGGUAGAGUGCUUGCCUUGCAUGCAUGAGGCGCUGGGUUCAAUUCCUGAGUACCA
rnacentral:tRNA from 1 species